UACGUAGGGGGCUAGCGUUGUCCGGAUUUACUGGGCGUAAAGAGCGCGCAGGCGGUCGUUCAAGUCGAGUGUGAAAGCCCCCGGCUCAACUGGGGAGGGUCAUUCGAUACUGAUCGACUUGAAGGCAGGAGAGGGAAGUGGAAUUCCCGGUGUAGUGGUGAAAUGCGUAGAUAUCGGGAAGAACACCAGUGGCGAAGGCGACUUCCUGGCCUGUUCUUGACGCUGAGGCGCGAAAGCUAGGGGAGCAAACGGG
rnacentral:rRNA from 1 species